rnacentral:misc_RNA from 1 species
UGCCCAUUGCUUGAGGAAGGAUUUGGCAUUUUUGUAUGCUUUAUGUAAUUUUUGAAUUGUACAAGAGGCCCAAAUGUAUAAAUGCAGGCUUAAAUUUAAUCUAUUGACUUAUGUUUUUGCAUUAGAAAAGGCCCAACAACUCAGGCCCGAAAUUGGCCCAAACCACCAAACCAACUUACAUUUUGGCUCGUUUUGUUUGUCCUUAAAUUUGAUAUUUUUACUUACAUUUUAG